rnacentral:rRNA from 1 species
GGCCUAUAUGAUUGCGAUCGCUACCUUGUGGUGCUGGCUCUCGCGAGCAAGUGCACGUUGGUGGCUUUCAUCCACUACUACCCUUGUGAACCUUUGGCCUCUUGCUCGCUUCGGCUGGCAGAGGAUUUUUUACACACACACUCGAAUGGAAUGAAAACAUUUGUCGUGCGCAAGCACUAAUGUACAACUUUCAACAACGGAUCUCUUGGCUCUCGCAUCGAUGAAGAACGCAGCGAAAUGCGAUAAGUAAUGUGAAUUGCAGAAUUCAGUGAAUCAUCGAAUCUUUGAACGCACCUUGCACCCUUUGGAAUUCCGAAGGGUAUGCUCGUUUGAGUGUCAUUGUACUCUCACACUCUCCGAUCCUUUGCGUUCGGGGAGCGGUGGACUUGGGUGUUUGCUGCCUUUGCCGGUGGCUCACCUCAAAUGCGUUCGUGCACCUCUUGGUUGGACAUAGUACGGCGUGAUAAGUAUCUUCGCCGGCACCUCGCAAGAGGGUGGCCGAUCGAGAGCUCUGUGCUUUCCAACCGUCCUCGGACACUGUCUGACAACUUGACCUCAAAUCGAGUAGGACUACCCGCUGAACUUAAGCAUAUCAUAAGGGGGAAGGAA